rnacentral:rRNA from 1 species
AAAAUCCACAGAUCUUGGGGAAAUACGAUAGUACUCGGAGUCUUCGGACAAAGAGAUAGUGCGCCUAAGGGCUUCCAAGAAAAACCUCUAAACUUCAGGUAAUUAGUACCAGUACCGUAAACCGACACAGGUAGUUGAGGAGAGAAUCCUAAGGUGCUCGAGAGAUUCAUGGCUAAGGAAUUAGGCAAAAUAGACCUGUAACUUCGGGAGAAAGGUCGCCAGCGCAAGCUGGCCGCAGUGAAGAGGUCCAGGCGACUGUUUAUCAAAAACACAGGGCUCUGCAAAAUCGUGAGAUGAAGUAUAGGGCCUGACACCUGCCCGGUGCUGGAAGGUUAAGAGGAGAUGUUAUCUUCGGAGAAGCAUUGAAUUGAAGCCCCAGUAAACGGCGGCCGUAACGAUAACGGUCCUAAGGUAGCGAAACUCCUUGUCGGGUAAGUUCCGACCUGCACGAAUGGUGUAACGAUCUGGACACUGUCUCAGCCAUGAGCUCGGUGAAAUUGUAGUAACGGUGAAGAUGCCGUUUACCCGCAGUGGGACGAAAAGACCCUGUGCACCUUUACUAUAGCUUAGUAUUGACCUUGGAUAAAUGAUGUGUAGGAUAGGUUGGAGACUGUGAAGUGGCGUCGCCAGGCGUUGUGGAGUCAUUGUUGAAAUACAACCCUUUGUUUAUCUGAGGCCUAACCCCGUUUUGCGGGGGACAUUGCUUGGUGGGUAGUUUGACUGGGGUGGUCGCCUCCAAAAGAGUAACGGAGGCUUCUAAAGGUUCCCUCAGUACGCUUGGUAACCGUGCGUAGAGUGCAAUGGCAUAAGGGAGCUUGACUGAGAGACAUACAGGUCGAUCAGGUACGAAAGUAGAGCAUAGUGAUCCGGUGGUUCCGCAUGGAAGGGUCAUCGCUCAAAGGAUAAAAGGUACGCCGGGGAUAACAGGCUGAUCUCCCCCAAGAGCUCAUAUCGACGGGGGGGUUUGGCGCCUCGAUGUCGGCUCGUCACAUCCUGGGGCUGGAGAAGGUCCCAAGGGUUGGGCUGUUCGCCCAUUAAAGUGGCACGCGAGCUGGGUUCAGAACGUCGUGAGACAGUUCGGUCUCUAUCUACUGUGGGCGUUAGAAAUUUGAGUGGAUCUGAUUCUAGUACGAGAGGAUCGAAUUGGACAAACCUCUAGUGUAUCUGUUGUCCCGCCAGGGGCACCGCAGAGUAGCUACGUUUGGAAGGGAUAAGCGCUGAAAGCAUAUAAGCGCGAAACCCACCACAAGAUGAGAUUUCUUUUAAGGAUCGUGGAAGAUGACCACGUUGAUAGGCUAUAGAUGUAAAGGCAGUAAUGUCAUAGUCGAGUAGUACUAAUAAUCC